rnacentral:rRNA from 1 species
GAUGAACGCUGGCGGCGUGCUUAACACAUGCAAGUCGAACGGUGAAGGAGAGCUUGCUCUUUGGAUCAGUGGCGAACGGGUGAGUAACACGUGAGCAAUCUGCCCCUGACUCUGGGAUAACAGUUGGAAACAGCUGCUAAUACCGGAUAUGAGACGUGACCGCAUGGUCGACGUUUGGAAAGAAUUUCGGUCAGGGAUGAGCUCGCGGCCUAUCAGCUUGUUGGUGAGGUAAUGGCUCACCAAGGCGUCGACGGGUAGCCGGCCUGAGAGGGUGACCGGCCACACUGGGACUGAGACACGGCCCAGACUCCUACGGGAGGCAGCAGUGGGGAAUAUUGCACAAUGGGCGAAAGCCUGAUGCAGCAACGCCGCGUGAGGGACGACGGCCUUCGGGUUGUAAACCUCUUUUAGCAGGGAAGAAGCGAAAGUGACGGUACCUGCAGAAAAAGCGCCGGCUAACUACGUGCCAGCAGCCGCGGUAAUACGUAGGGCGCAAGCGCUAUCCGGAAUUAUUGGGCGUAAAGAGCUCGUAGGCGGUUUGUCGCGUCUGCUGUGAAAACUGGAGGCUCAACCUCCAGCCUGCAGUGGGUACGGGCAGACUAGAGUGCGGUAGGGGAGAUUGGAAUUCCUGGUGUAGCGGUGGAAUGCGCAGAUAUCAGGAGGAACACCGAUGGCGAAGGCAGAUCUCUGGGCCGUAACUGACGCUGAGGAGCGAAAGGGUGGGGAGCAAACAGGCUUAGAUACCCUGGUAGUCCACCCCGUAAACGUUGGGAACUAGUUGUGGGGUCCAUUCCACGGAUUCCGUGACGCAGCUAACGCAUUAAGUUCCCCGCCUGGGGAGUACGGCCGCAAGGCUAAAACUCAAAGGAAUUGACGGGGACCCGCACAAGCGGCGGAGCAUGCGGAUUAAUUCGAUGCAACGCGAAGAACCUUACCAAGGCUUGACAUAUACGAGAACGGGUUAGAAAUAGUCAACUCUUUGGACACUCGUAAACAGGUGGUGCAUGGUUGUCGUCAGCUCGUGUCGUGAGAUGUUGGGUUAAGUCCCGCAACGAGCGCAACCCUCGUUCUAUGUUGCCAGCACGUAAUGGUGGGAACUCAUGGGAUACUGCCGGGGUCAACUCGGAGGAAGGUGGGGAUGACGUCAAAUCAUCAUGCCCCUUAUGUCUUGGGCUUCACGCAUGCUACAAUGGCCGGUACAAAGGGCUGCAAUACCGUAAGGUGGAGCGAAUCCCAAAAAGCCGGUCCCAGCUCGGAUUGAGGUCUGCAACUCGACCUCAUGAAGUCGGAGUCGCUAGUAAUCGCAGAUCAGCAACGCUGCGGUGAAUACGUUCCCGGGUCU